UACGUAGGGGGCUAGCGUUGUCCGGAUUUAUUGGGCGUAAAGAGCGUGUAGGCGGUCAGGUAGGUCGGUUGUGAAAACUGGAGGCUCAACCUUCAGAGGUCGACCGAAACCCCCUGGCUAGAGUCCGGGAGAGGAGAGUGGAAUUCCUGGUGUAGCGGUGAAAUGCGUAGAUAUCUGGAGGAACACCGGUGGCGAAGGCGGCAUCCUGGACCGGCAUUGACGCUGAGGAGCGAAAGCCAGGGGAGCAAACGGG
rnacentral:rRNA from 1 species